UCCUUGUAAAAUAAUUCAAUAAUUAUUUGAGCCUUUAAUAGAAAACAACAUAAUUAACCCUUAAUCGAAUUAAAAUAAUAGCUCAAGUAACUCGUUUACAGCAUUUGAUUUCAAAAUCUAAAUCAUAACAAAACUAUAUCCUACUAUAAUUGCAAUUUCCAGUUUCAUCUUCUACUCACUAACAAAUCAAGAACAAUUUCCAGCAGACUAUCAAAACAAUUUUCAGAACAAAUCAAGAACAAUAUUAAAACAAAUGUAACAAUUUCCAGUUUCAUCUUCUACUCACUAACAACGAGAAGCUAAUAUCUAAAUUGAAAAAACAACACUAUCAACAAUUUCCAUUGUAAACUCUUUCAAAAAACAGCAGACUAUCAAAAAACUAUCUGAAUUGAAAACAGCAGACAGUUUUCAUUGCUCACUGUAUCAAUACGAAUAUUUUAGCACAAUGUAUCAAUAUAGACUCUGAUUUUAGAAGACAUUGUGCACAAGACACAAUUUUAUCAAAUUUAUUUUACAAGCUAAACCUGAAGUUAAACAUCAAUACAUACUUGCCCUUAUGCCUUAAAACUCUUUGGAUUACAUAACAAAGGAAAAGAAACAGCAAUACAAACAUGCAAUCGGGGAAAACUAACCUUUCAAUACAGACUUGCAAUACAGAAUAUUUUAGCACAAUGUAUGAAUACAGACUCUGAUUCUAAAAUUUAGCUGAGUAUGAACCAAAGUUUGUUAGACUGAGCAAAAUAGAUAAUAAAAUUUAGGUUUCCAAUGCUACCUUAAGAAAAAUGAAAAUUGCGAACACAAACAGAUAAUCAAGACAUAAAGCAAAGAAAAACACAUUAAAGGAAAAAUAAUACAGCAUAACAAAUAAUAUACUAUUAAAAAAUAUCAUCUCAAAACAAAAGGAAAAUCAGAGUGAAACCACACGUAAAUGAAGAAACAAUCAAGAGAUAGAAAAAUUAUAUCUAACAACAACUAUUCAAGGGGAACAAAUGAUAUCAAUAGAUGUCUCGCUCACGAAUAUGAUUCCUCAGUUCAUAUCAGAAAUCUUAGUGCUUGCAUUGCCAAAUAUAUGGACCUCAUGGUACUAAUAAUCCUUACAUACAAAGCAUCCCUAUUGCACUAUAUUCAUCAUUUCAGCAAAGCCAACUGACAGAUCAAAUUCCAUUUAAGUUCUAACAAAGGCAAUCAUUGAAAAUAGCACUUAACAUGGAAGUAAAGAUGAAAUAGAGCAGCUUCAAAUAGAUCUCAAGCUUAAAACAGUUCAAGAUCGGUUCAGCUUGAUUGCAACCCUAGUUUGUGGUUAGUGUUACAUGAAGCAGGCUCAUUAUUAAAGUAUCUAGUAAUCACCUGUUGAAACUAUUUUAUGUAAAUGGAUUGAUGCUAACUAGUUGGCAUUUUUAAAUCAGGAGGGUAAUGAAUCCUAACAAUAUAUGCUAAACUUGAUUUUUUUUUUGGAUAAACUUUGUUUUUUUUAUUUAUCCAAAGGAAACAACAAAAGCUGCUAUAGCAAUACAAACAUGCAAUCGGGGAAAACUAACCUUUCAAUCGAACAUGCAAUACAAAUAUUGAAAAUACCUAUGGAAAACUAUUCUGUAAUGAGCAAAUCGGGGAAGAGUGCGAUGAAGAAGUGUUGGAACAAAGAACCUGUAAUGAGAAAAGGGAAAUCGAUUAAGUGAACAUUGCAAUAAUCGAUGAAGAAGAACCUGCAAUAAUCGAUGAAGAAAAGGAAGAGUGUGAUGAAACGAAACCAUAUAUAUAUACAUAUAUCAUGAUCAACAACCAAACAAAUAAUGAAAAAAAAUCAUUAAAAUUGCCGAUUUACCAAGAACUGAAACAAUCGCACCAAAAACUUGUAUUUAUAAAAAAAUUACAACAACACCCAUUAAAAUUGCAUGCAGGGAGGAAAGAAAUAGAGGUUACUCACAUGCGGAGAUUACUCACUUGCCGCUUCAAAGCGUCUAGAGAUCUAAGACCGUCGAGUCGGCGAAAGAUGCAAACAUGAAAGUCGAGAGCGACUGGAGGUUUGGUUCGCUGGUGCGUUCUGCUGAUGUUGGGAGGGAGAGGGUGGGGUGGAGAUCGAUUUCACCAAGGGGAGGGUAAAAUAGAGAUCGAUUACCUAAUCUUUGCUUUUGCAAGGGAUUAGAAAUCGGCGCUGAAGUAAAAAAAAUACCGAAUCCGUCCGCAACGUAAUAGGCCCGUAUUAGGGCAAUACAGCGAACCAAACGGCGUAUUGAGUGGGGCCACCGAAUCGGGGUGUAAUGGUUAAUCCAUUACACCCAACCAAACAUGGUGUUAGGGUUUUCGUAAUUUUUCCAAUUUUUUCUAUCUUCAUCGUCUCCUCACUAUUAGGAAAAAAGGAUUUAGGGCUUCAUUCUUUCUCAAUAUCAGUAAUGGAAGGAUUACAGGCUGAGCAAAAAAAUAGAGGGAUUACAGGAUCUGGGUUGACCUUUCGUCUCGCAAUCCGUGCGGCCUUAGGCGAUCCGUUUGCUCCAAACUCGCCUAAGUCAGCCUUUACGCCCAAAAGUGAGGAUUCUUUAGAACUCCUCCAAGGCACCAAUUUGUAUAGCGGAAGCGAUUGUGCCAAAAGAAGUUACAAGUGAACAACAGAAAGCCAAAGAAAGAAUGCAUACAAAGUGUUUGAGUAAAUGCUCAAAGAAUUCUAUUACUCUUAAGAAUUCAGCUUACAAUGGAUGAGUACAAAUGAGGGGGAGGCUCUCUUUUAUAGUUGAGCUCCCCCAAAACCGACGGUCAAGAUACAUUUACAUCAACAGACGAGAUUCACCAUAUCCUUUGAUUUUGGGGAUUUACAAGAUUUGCCAUAUCUAAUCUAAUCUUUACAAGAUAUGAUUCUCUCUAUCUUCUAAGAUUAGUUACUAAAAUUAGCCUAAGUUGCCAUGUCUUCAUUAUUGGGCCAACCAGGCUUCAAUCUGACAAGCUUCUUUAAUAGCUCUCUGAAUCGGGCCAGUUCUCGUGGGAUAAAUGUUUCCCAUCUAAUUGAUAGACCUCCAUGGGGUGCUUCUUGUGCCAUGGUCACGAGCUUUACACUUUGGCUCGUGACACUUGUAUCUCAAAUCUUUUCUCUUUGUCAAUGGGGGUUUUGCAUUUUAUAUAGCGGGUUGAUUAUCAUUCUGAGUUUUUGCCAUUUGAUAAAAGAGAGAUUGAAAGAUAAGUGAACAAUAAGGAUAGUGGAUAACAAUGAACAGAGAAAGAGAGAAUAAGGGUUUUCCUUUUCCUUUUUCUUUCCCUUUGUUGUUGUUGUUGAGAGCUUGGGGGUGGGUUUUCUUUUCUUUUUACUGGAAACAUAUGUUGGUAUUGAUUUGUCUAAAUUUUAGAAUUUACAAUUGUUGUUUUUGUUAA